rnacentral:rRNA from 1 species
CGCGUAGGCGGUUUUAUAAGUUGGAUGUGAAAGCCCUGGGCUUAACCUAGGAACUGCAUUCAGAACUGUAAGACUAGAGUAUUGUAGAGGGUAGUGGAAUUUCCGGUGUAGCGGUGAAAUGCGUAGAGAUCGGAAGGAACACCAGUGGCGAAGGCGGCUACCUGGACAAAUGCUGACGCUGAGGCGCGAAAGCGUGGGGAGCAAACA